UACGUAGGGUCCGAGCGUUGUCCGGAAUUACUGGGCGUAAAGAGCUCGUAGGUGGUUUGUCGCGUUGUUCGUGAAAACUCACAGCUCAACUGUGGGCGUGCGGGCGAUACGGGCAGACUAGAGUACUGCAGGGGAGACUGGAAUUCCUGGUGUAGCGGUGGAAUGCGCAGAUAUCGGGAGGAACACCAGAGGCGAAGGCGCGUAACUGGGUCAUAACUGACGCUGAGGAACGAAAGCCAGGGUAGCAAAAAGG
rnacentral:rRNA from 1 species